GUUUGCUGCACUUAGUUUCUAUUGUUUGGUUUGGGAUUUUGGAUAACACCCAUUAUUGAGUAGUUUGUGGUGAUUUUAUAGGGGCUAGAUUGGCAGAAGCUGUACAGAAGUUGGGAAGAUAAUCCGGAUGUCGGUUUUAUUGCAUUGAAGGGCAGUGGCAAGGCAUUUUGUGCGGGUGGAGAUAUGGUGUUUCUCUAUCAUUUCAGCAAGAAAAACUAAAAGAAGGAAAUAAAUUCAUACAAUUAUGAGGGAAUGGAGGAAAUGAGGACCAAAAAUUAAGGAGCCCAAACCGAUAGGGAAAGAAGAUAUACUGGUGACAUUGUGGGGGGGGAUAUUUCAUGCAGUCUUGAUAUUGAGGCUAUCAGGACAACACGGCCACCUGCACUUGCAGUUUUCACAAGCCUCAAAUUGA